GAAUCUGCCUGGUAGUGGGGGAUAACGUCCGGAAACGGACGCUAAUACCGCAUACGUCCUACGGGAGAAAGCAGGGGACCUUCGGGCCUUGCGCUAUCAGAUGAGCCUAGGUCGGAUUAGCUAGUUGGUGGGGUAAUGGCUCACCAAGGCGACGAUCCGUAACUGGUCUGAGAGGAUGAUCAGUCACACUGGAACUGAGACACGGUCCAGACUCCUACGGGAGGCAGCAGUGGGGAAUAUUGGACAAUGGGCGAAAGCCUGAUCCAGCCAUGCCGCGUGUGUGAAGAAGGUCUUCGGAUUGUAAAGCACUUUAAGUUGGGAGGAAGGGCAGUAAAUUAAUACUUUGCUGUUUUGACGUUACCGACAGAAUAAGCACCGGCUAACUCUGUGCCAGCAGCCGCGGUAAUACAGAGGGUGCAAGCGUUAAUCGGAAUUACUGGGCGUAAAGCGCGCGUAGGUGGUUCGUUAAGUUGGAUGUGAAAUCCCCGGGCUCAACCUGGGAACUGCAUUCAAAACUGACGAGCUAGAGUAUGGUAGAGGGUGGUGGAAUUUCCUGUGUAGCGGUGAAAUGCGUAGAUAUAGGAAGGAACACCAGUGGCGAA
rnacentral:rRNA from 1 species